AUUGAACGCUGGCGGCAUGCUUUACACAUGCAAGUCGAACGGCAGCACGAAAGAGCUUGCUCUUUUGGUGGCGAGUGGCGAACGGGUGAGUAAUGCAUCGGAACGUACCGAGUAAUGGGGGAUAACUAUCCGAAAGGAUAGCUAAUACCGCAUACGCUCUGAGAAGGAAAGUGGGGGCUCUUCGGACCUCACGUUAUUCGAGCGGCCGAUGUCUGAUUAGCUAGUUGGUGGGGUAAAGGCCUACCAAGGCGACGAUCAGUAGCGGGUCUGAGAGGAUGAUCCGCCACACUGGGACUGAGACACGGCCCAGACUCCUACGGGAGGCAGCAGUGGGGAAUUUUGGACAAUGGGCGCAAGCCUGAUCCAGCCAUGCCGCGUGUCUGAAGAAGGCCUUCGGGUGAAA
rnacentral:rRNA from 1 species